UACGAGGGGGGCAAGCGUUGUUCGGAUUUAUUGGGCGUAAAGGGUGCGUAGGCGGUUUGGCAAGUCUUGUGUGAAAUCUUCGGGCUCAACCCGAAGCCUGCAUAAGAAACUGCCGGGCUUGAGUAUGGGAGAGGUGAGUGGAAUUUCCGGUGUAGCGGUGAAAUGCUUAGAUAUGACAUAGAACACCGAUUGCGAAGGCAGCUGACUACAGGAACAUUGACACUGAGGCACGAAAGCGUGGGGAUCAAACAGG
rnacentral:rRNA from 1 species